CUUUACUAUAGCCUGUCAUUGAAAUUAUGUGAUUGUUGUUUAGUAUAGGUGGGAGACUUUGAUGUUCUAGCGCUAGCUGGAACGGAGUCGAAAUGUGAAAUACCACCCUGCAAUUAUGUGAUUUCUAACCGGAAUUUAACCUGUUCUGGAACAGUGGCUGGUGGGUAGUUUAACUGGGGCGGUUGCCUCCUAAAUGGUAACGGAGGCGUUUAUUAAGGUAUGCUAGGCGCGGAUGGAAAUCGCGCUGGUAGUGCAAACGCAUAAGCAUGCUUGACUGCAAGGCUCGCAAGCCGCGCAGGUACGAAAGUAGAAGUUAGUGAUCCGAUGCGUUCGAGUGGAAGACGCAAAGCCCAACGGAUAAAAGUUA
rnacentral:rRNA from 1 species